GACGAACGCUGGCGGCGUGCUUAACACAUGCAAGUCGAACGGAAAGGCCCUGGUUUUGUGGGGUGCUCGAGUGGCGAACGGGUGAGUAACACGUGAGUAACCUGCCCUUGACUUUGGGAUAACUUCAGGAAACUGGGGCUAAUACCGGAUAGGAGCUCCUGCUGCAUGGUGUGUGUUGGAAAGUUUCGGCGGUUGGGGAUGGACUCGCGGCUUAUCAGCUUGUUGGUGGGGUAGUGGCUUACCAGGGCUUUGACGGGUAGCCGGCCUGAGAGGGUGACCGGCCACAUUGGGACUGAGAUACGGCACAGACUCCUACGGGAGGCAGCAGUGGGGAAUAUUGCACAAUGGGCGGAAGCCUGAUGCAGCAACGCCGCGUGCGGGAUGACGGCCUUCGGGUUGUAACCCGCUUUCGCCUGUGACGAAGCGUGAGUGACGGUAAUGGGUAAAGAAGCACCGGCUAACUACGUG
rnacentral:rRNA from 1 species